rnacentral:rRNA from 1 species
UACGAAGGGGGCUAGCGUUGCUCGGAAUCACUGGGCGUAAAGGGUGCGUAGGCGGGUCUGUAAGUCAGGGGUGAAAUCCUGGAGCUCAACUCCAGAACUGCCUUUGAUACUGAGGAUCUUGAGUUCGGGAGAGGUGAGUGGAACUGCGAGUGUAGAGGUGAAAUUCGUAGAUAUUCGCAAGAACACCAGUGGCGAAGGCGGCUCACUGGCCCGAUACUGACGCUGAGGCACGAAAGCGUGGGGAGCAAACAGG